AAGAAACUGGCCAAAAGAAAUUAAAUGACUUGCUAGUGUCACCCAGCUCAUUAGUGAUCAGAAUGGUUCUUGAAUCCAGGUUUUCCUGAUUCCAUCUGCAUCAUUCUAAAAUAUGUGCUCUGCUAUUUACUCAGGUACUCUUUAUUGAGGUUAGUGCUUUAAGAAGAUGGAAGAAGCUUUCUAUUGAAAGAGAAUGUCUCCAGCCAAGUGUUUCACCAACCAAAAGACUGAUGUUGAAGAGGCUGAGCCACAAAAGGCAGUCUCUACCACCAAGGAGAUGACAAAAUUGAAACAUGGAGCCCAAAGAGCUGACUGAUUCAGCAGAAUAACCUGUCUGGCUUCUGUAUUUCACAAGUUCAUCAAUGCUGAAAAAGUUGGCUCCUGUGAGCUGCCUGGAUUGUGUCACUCUAAUGAUAUAUUACAAAAUUUCCUGCACCACAGAGCAGCCGUGAACACAAUCCCCUUCUUGUUAAGAAAAGAGAGGUCAAGAAAAGCUCUUCCUGUUGCAAAAUGGUCAAUUUUAAAGUAAUUUAUAUCAAUUACAUGGAUUCUUUUUUCUAACCUCCCAACACACACACAUAUCCACAGUGAAGACUGUGUUUACACACAUAGAUUUAGAAUACAUAUGUAUAUGUAUAUAAAGGUGUGCAAUUGAAGAAUGUUUUUGAAUUUAUUUUAGUUUUAGUAUAAAAUAAUUUUGGUUUUGAAUAUUUUUUUUAAAUUUACAUUAUGAAUAAUGUUGUAAGAACGAGAAUUGAUCCCAAAGCAUAAUCCAUGAGCAAUAUAAAGUCUCUAUCUUAAAUGAAGUUGCUUUCUUCAAAAUCAUCAAGGCAGUUUGGUACAUUGUGGAAAAAGCUCUGCAUUAAACAUCAGGAAACCUGAGCUUAGAUAUACUUAAUGUCUAUUCUUAAGUAAAAUUAUUUAACGUCUGAAUCUCAGUUUCUUCAUCUGUAAAAUAUGGGGUUUAGAAUAGAUAAAUAAUCUCAGAGGUC
rnacentral:lncRNA from 1 species